GUCCUUUCCUCUUGAGAACCUGUGUCUUCACGCUGGCGCACUCUGGCUGAGUUCUCCUAACCUGGACCUGGGACCACAUGCCAUUAAGCACAUGUACCACACAUGUCAGGCAUAUCUGCACAGGGCAUUCUGAGGCCACAGGAGGAAUGAGAUUUGUUCUCUACUGGAAUGACAGUGGGAGUGGCAAGCCAUUUCUUCUCCCACUGCCAAUGCAGAGACACCCAUGCUGUCUCUGGCCUCCUGGAAUCAGCUUCCAGCUUCACUGGUUACAGAAGUUUCACCUCAACAUGUCUCCCGAGUUUCCCUCCCAGAAAGCCCUCCAGACGAGAAUGGGAUGAGAUGAACAGUUUCUGUUGGUCCCAAUGGUGUGCCCAGGACAAUUAUGCUGUGCUGCUUUCAAAGGACUCCACGUCUGAGAGCCGCAUUUGGCUACCUCCACUUUGUGGUCCUGUCGUCACCCAACGCACUCCUCAUGGCUUCCACGGAGGAGAAGGUAAACACGAAGCAUCUAAUCAUGCCGAACUUGCUGUAUUUUCUGCUCCUCCAUUUUCUUUGCCCAAAAGCAAACUGAUGCAUGGUUUCUGCUAA
rnacentral:lncRNA from 1 species